CUAAAAUAUAGGCUGCUCGAGGAAUUAUGGCACUUGAAGCUUGCAAUUGCAUUGCAUCAUCUUUUAUGCUAAACAGUGAAUUAUCACCUGUUUGCCUUACACUGAUAGAAACUGCCAAGUCAUGUUUGAGUGCCAAAGACAAAUACCUUCAGUCAACCAUUCAACUCUUAAACAAACAAUGCCCAACUCUCUAGGGACAAUGAUUGCUAUCAAACUUGAAAAAGGUCUUCCACCCAAUAAUUAUAUGUGCAACAUUUGCAGAGCU